rnacentral:lncRNA from 1 species
AUGAGACAUGAAGCAGUUACAGCUUAUCGAGGACAUGAACCUAGAUGAGAAUGUAUAGAGGACACAAAUUAGGAGAAGGCUAGUGCAUGUGGGGGGGUCGUAGCCAGUAGUUAGGUGAGCUUUGGGGUAGCCGGGCUGGUAGUCUUAGGGAUAUGUUCAAAGGUUGGAGCUGAUAGUAGGAGGGUAUGGGGGUGGUGGGUUCCUUGGUUCAUCCGUGUAGGGUAUUACUUUAUGGGUGUCUUAUUUUUUCUAUUUUUUUUGUUUCAUGCGUUAUUAUGACUUUGAUUAUAAUUCUUUGUCUUGAGCCGGGGGUCUACUGGAAACAACCUCUCUACUUCUUCGGAAGUAGUGGUAUGGACUGCGUACAUUUCAGCCUCCCCACACCCCACUAUGUGGGAAUACAUUGGGUUUUUUGAUACGGGUUUCACGGGCUCUAGACCAUUUACUAGAAGUCAAGCUCGGGAACUACAAAUGCUUCAAGGCAUGUUUAUGAAAAUAGACGCGAUUGAUCUUGUUCCAAACUCUCCCAAGGGAGUGUACAUAUUGACAUGUGGGGUCUUACAUUAGGGGCCCAAAAUACACCCCCAAGGCUGCCCCAAACACUCCAUGCCCUCC